AUAGAGAAAAAAUUAGAGAAGUUUAGGAAUCCAAUGAAAAGAAGGAGAGAAGCCAGUUCGCUCCACAGAGUAUGAAGGAAGAAGGAGAGGUCAUCAAACAUCUUUUCGAUAAGGCUGCAUCGAUCAACUUUAAAUUUUUAUUAUAAUUUUAUUUUAUUUCAUUAUUAUUUUUAAAUUUUUUGUAAUUGACUUCAUUUUUAAUUAAUAUAAAAUUUAUUUUAUUAUACUUUUAAAUUUUUAUUCUUUAUUUUUAUUACAAGUAGAUGCUA
rnacentral:lncRNA from 1 species